rnacentral:rRNA from 1 species
AGAGUUUGAUCCUGGCUCAGGAUGAACGCCGGCGGUGUGCCUAAUACAUGCAAGUCGAACGCGUUGGCCCAACUGAUUGAACGUGCUUGCACGGACUUGACGUUGGUUUACCAGCGAGUGGCGGACGGGUGAGUAACACGUAGGUAACCUGCCCCAAAGCGGGGGAUAACAUUUGGAAACAGAUGCUAAUACCGCAUAACAAUUUGAAUCGCAUGAUUCAAAUUUAAAAGAUGGCUUCGGCUAUCACUUUGGGAUGGACCUGCGGCGCAUUAGCUUGUUGGUAGGGUAACGGCCUACCAAGGCUGUGAUGCGUAGCCGAGUUGAGAGACUGAUCGGCCACAAUGGAACUGAGACACGGUCCAUACUCCUACGGGAGGCAGCAGUAGGGAAUCUUCCACAAUGGGCGCAAGCCUGAUGGAGCAACACCGCGUGAGUGAAGAAGGGUUUCGGCUCGUAAAGCUCUGUUGUUAGAGAAGAACGUGCGUGAGAGCAACUGUUCACGCAGUGACGGUAUCUAACCAGAAAGUCACGGCUAACUACGUGCCAGCAGCCGCGGUAAUACGUAGGUGGCAAGCGUUAUCCGGAUUUAUUGGGCGUAAAGCGAGCGCAGGCGGUUUGAUAAGUCUGAUGUGAAAGCCUUUGGCUUAACCAAAGAAGUGCAUCGGAAACUGUCAGACUUGAGUGCAGAAGAGGACAGUGGAACUCCAUGUGUAGCGGUGGAAUGCGUAGAUAUAUGGAAGAACACCAGUGGCGAAGGCGGCUGUCUGGUCUGCAACUGACGCUGAGGCUCGAAAGCAUGGGUAGCGAACAGGAUUAGAUACCCUGGUAGUCCAUGCCGUAAACGAUGAGUGCUAGGUGUUGGAGGGUUUCCGCCCUUCAGUGCCGCAGCUAACGCAUUAAGCACUCCGCCUGGGGAGUACGACCGCAAGGUUGAAACUCAAAGGAAUUGACGGGGGCCCGCACAAGCGGUGGAGCAUGUGGUUUAAUUCGAAGCUACGCGAAGAACCUUACCAGGUCUUGACAUCUUGCGCCAACCCUAGAGAUAGGGCGUUUCCUUCGGGAACGCAAUGACAGGUGGUGCAUGGUCGUCGUCAGCUCGUGUCGUGAGAUGUUGGGUUAAGUCCCGCAACGAGCGCAACCCU